GUGUGUUUGUGGGUGCGGGGUGUGUGUGUUUGUGUGUGUGUGCGCGGGUGCGGGAGGCGCGCGCCAGCCGCCCUUCCCCUACACGUUGAUCUUAUUCGAUCGGCCGGGCCGGGCCGGGCCGAGGUGAGAAGAAGCGGCGCCGCGAAGCCCCGGGCGGUGUGCGGCGGCCGGCGGCGGGCGGGAUGAGUCGAUCAGAUAGGCGAGGCCGCGGCCGCUGAGCGCCCUGCGAUUCUGACCCGC
rnacentral:snoRNA from 1 species